UUGGGAAUAUUGGACAAUGGGCGAAAGCCUGAUCCAGCCAUGCCGCGUGUGUGAAGAAGGUCUUCGGAUUGUAAAGCACUUUAAGUUGGGAGGAAGGGCAGUAAGCGAAUACCUUGCUGUUUUGACGUUACCGACAGAAUAAGCACCGGCUAACUCUGUGCCAGCAGCCGCGGUAAUACAGAGGGUGCAAGCGUUAAUCGGAAUUACUGGGCGUAAAGCGCGCGUAGGUGGUUCGUUAAGUUGAAUGUGAAAGCCCCGGGCUCAACCUGGGAACUGCAUCCAAAACUGGCGAGCUAGAGUAGGGCAGAGGGUGGUGGAAUUUCCUGUGUAGCGGUGAAAUGCGUAGAUAUAGGAAGGAACACCAGUGGCGAAGGCGACCACCUGGGCUCAUACUGACACUGAGGUGCGAAAGCGUGGGGAGCAAACAGG
rnacentral:rRNA from 1 species